GAUGAACGCUGGCGGCGUGCCUAAUACAUGCGAGUCGAGCGAACAGACGAGGAGCUUGCUCCUCUGACGUUAGCGGCGGACGGGUGAGUAACACGUGGAUAACCUACCUAUAAGACUGGGAUAACUUCGGGAAACCGGAGCUAAUACCGGAUAAUAUAUUGAACCGCAUGGUUCAAUAGUGAAAGACGGUUUUGCUGUCACUUAUAGCUGGAUCCGCGCCGCAUUAGCUAGUUGGUAAGGUAACGGCUUACCAAGGCAACGAUGCGUAGCCGACCUGAGAGGGUGAUCGGCCACACUGGAACUGAGACACGGUCCAGACUCCUACGGGAGGCAGCAGUAGGGAAUCUUCCGCAAUGGGCGAAAGCCUGACGGAGCAACGCCGCGUGAGUGAUGAAGGUCUUCGGAUCGUAAAACUCUGUUAUUAGGGAAGAACAAAUGUGUAAGUAACUAUGCACUUCUUGACGGUACCUAAUCAGAAAGCCACGGCUAACUACGUG
rnacentral:rRNA from 1 species